CAGCAGCCACGGUAAUACGGAGGGCGCGAGCGUUACCCGGAUUUACUGGGCGUAAAGGGCGUGUAGGCGGCCUGGGGCGUCCCAUGUGAAAGGCCACGGCUCAACCGUGGAGGAGCGUGGGAUACGCUCAGGCUAGAGGGUGGGAGAGGGUGGUGGAAUUCCCGGAGUAGCGGUGAAAUGCGCAGAUACCGGGAGGAACGCCGAUGGCGAAGGCAGCCACCUGGUCCACCUCUGACGCUGAGGCGCGAAAGCGUGGGGAGCAAACCGGAUUAGAUACCCCCGUAGUCCCUGUCUCUUAUAC
rnacentral:rRNA from 1 species